GACGAACGUUGGCGGCGUGCUUAACACAUGCAAGUCGAACGGAAAGGCCCUGCUUUUGUGGGGUGCUCGAGUGGCGAACGGGUGAGUAACACGUGAGUAACCUGCCCUUGACUUUGGGAUAACUUCAGGAAACUGGGGCUAAUACCGGAUAGGAGCUCCUGCUGCAUGGUGGGGGUUGGAAAGUUUCGGCGGUUGGGGAUGGACUCGCGGCUUAUCAGCUUGUUGGUGGGGUAGUGGCUUACCAAGGCUUUGACGGGUAGCCGGCCUGAGAGGGUGACCGGCCACAUUGGGACUGAGAUACGGCCCAGACUCCUACGGGAGGCAGCAGUGGGGAAUAUUGCACAAUGGGCGGAAGCCUGAUGCAGCAACGCCGCGUGCGGGAUGACGGCCUUCGGGUUGUAAACCGCUUUCGCCUGUGACGAAGCGUGAGUGACGGUAAUGGGUAAAGAAGCACCGGCUAACUACGUGCCAGCAGCCGCGGUGAUACGUAGGGUGCGAGCGUUGUCCGGAUUUAUUGGGCGUAAAGGGCUCGUAGGUGGUUGAUCGCGUCGGAAGUGUAAUCUUGGGGCUUAACCCUGAGCGUGCUUUCGAUACGGGUUGACUUGAGGAAGGUAGGGGAGAAUGGAAUUCCUGGUGGAGCGGUGGAAUGCGCAGAUAUCAGGAGGAACACCAGUGGCGAAGGCGGUUCUCUGGGCCUUUCCUGACGCUGAGGAGCGAAAGCGUGGGAGCGAACAGGCUUAGAUACCCUGGUAGUCCACGCUGUAAACGGUGGGUACUAGGUGUGGGGUCCAUUCCACGGGUUCCGUGCCGUAGCUAACGCUUUAAGUACCCCGCCUGGGGAGUACGGCCGCAAGGCUAAAACUCAAAGGAAUUGACGGGGCCCCGCACAAGCGGCGGAGCAUGCGGAUUAAUUCGAUGCAACGCGUAGAACCUUACCUGGGUUUGACAUGGAUCGGGAGUGCUCAGAGAUGGGUGUGCCUCUUUUGGGGUCGGUUCACAGGUGGUGCAUGCCUGUCGUCAGCUCGUGUCGUGAGAUGUUGGGUUAAGUCCCGCAACGAGCGCAACCCUUGUUCACUGUUGCCAGCACGUUAUGGUGGGGACUCAGUGGAGACCGCCGGGGUCAACUCGGAGGAAGGUGGGGAUGACGUCAAGUCCUCAUGCCCCUUAUGUCCAGGGCUUCACGCAUGCUACAAUGGCUGGUACAGAGAGUGGCGAGCCUGUGAGGGUGAGCGAAUCUCGGAAAGCCGGUCUCAGUUCGGAUUGGGGUCUGCAACUCGACCUCAUGAAGUCGGAGUCGCUAGUAAUCGCAAAGCAGCAACGCUGCGGUGAAUACGUUCCCGGGGCU
rnacentral:rRNA from 1 species